CUCAUUGCGUUAUAAAACUCUGGGUGGUAAAAGAUUAUAGGCUUAGACCAGUGUCUUUGGAUUCUAAUGCCGGCUGCUCUCCAUAGUCCAUCUGAUUCCCCAGAAGUCAGUUAUAGCUCAUUGCAAACCUUGGUGACUUCUUAUUUUCUUUCUUGUUUAUCCAAGAUUAGCUGGCUGGUGUUUGGUUGUUCUGGAGUGAUCUUCUGACUGGAAAAGAACUAUGUCAUGGAUCAAGGAAGGAGAACUGUCACUUUGGGAGCGGUUCUGUGCCAACAUCAUAAAGGCAGGCCCAAUGCCAAAACACAUUGCAUUCAUAAUGGAUGGGAACCGUCGCUAUGCCAAGAAGUGCCAGGUGGAGCGGCAGGAAGGCCACUCACAGGGCUUCAACAAGCUAGCUGAGACUCUGCGGUGGUGUUUGAACCUGGGCAUCCUAGAGGUGACGGUCUACGCAUUCAGCAUUGAGAACUUCAAACGCUCCAAGAGUGAGGUAGACGGGCUUAUGGAUCUGGCCCGGCAGAAGUUCAGCCGCUUGAUGGAAGAACAGUAAGAUGCUAUCAGA
rnacentral:sRNA from 1 species